UACGGGGGGUGCAAGCGUUGUUCGGAUUUACUGGGCGUAAAGGGCGCGUAGGCGGCCAGCACAAGUCAGUUGUGAAAUCUCCGAGCUUAACUCGGAAAGGUCAACUGAUACUGUGCGGCUAGAGUGCGGAAGGGGCAACUGGAAUUCUUGGUGUAGCGGUGAAAUGCGUAGAUAUCAAGAGGAACACCUGCGGCGAAGGCGGGUUGCUGGGCCGACACUGACGCUGAGGCCCGAAAGCGUGGGGAGCGAACAGG
rnacentral:rRNA from 1 species